UCGACAUCCCCUUUGCUCUUCCUCUUAUUUGUUCCGUUUCACGUCUGAUUCUCCAGUGCUGCCAUGAUCACGGAGUCAACUUCUUCGACAACGCCGAGGUUUACGCCAAUGGCCGAGCUGAGAAGAUCAUGGGUCUGGCGAUUCGCGAGCUGGACUGGCGGAGAUCCGACAUCGUGGUCUCCACCAAGAUCUUCUGGGGUGGUCCUGGUCCUAACGAUAAGGUUUCUCGAGGAAACAUAUCAUCGAAGGAACCAAAGCUUCUCUCAAAAGACUCGAUAUGGACUAUGUAGAUGUCCUCUAUUGCCACAGCUUCAACAGUUUCGUCAAAAGAAGGCUGACAAAAACACUGAUCAUAAAAAGGACCCCAAGGGCAGUACAAGCCAAGGAAAUCCUCCAAAAAAUCUGGUAAGAAGCAUGAGCCUAAACCUGACACUGGUGGUGUCAGUGACGAGGCAGAAGCUCCGUCUGAUGUGGCUGUAGGAGGAGCUUCAUCUCAUGUGAAUAUUGGUGAGGAGGUUGUUGAUCCUCCACCGACUUCUGUAAAUGCAGCAGCUAACAGUGAUGUUUCAGUUGACACGCUUCAGCCAGGAAACACCACAGCAACUUCUGAUAGUGGAGAUGAACCGAGAAAAGAAGUUGCGAAUUCCGAAAAUGAUAUCAGCGUAGCAUUGUCCACGGAAGAAGAGAAUGUGAAGAGUAUCGACAUUGGAGCGGCUGGCGCAGUAGAUUCUUUGACGUCUGACCUUGCAGAUACCGAGAAGGGAGUUACACAUGACGAUGCAGAGGAGUCCCUUCUGGCCGUACGAUCUGAGUUACAAAAGAGAUCUAAUGAACUUGAACAAUCAGAACAGAGGUUAUUAUCUACUAGAGAGAAGCUUAGCAUAGCUGUUGUCACGUGUUAGCUCUGUUUGUUCUCAUAUGCAUUUUAAGACUCAGAGACAGAGAGAGCAUUAUCUGUUGUGUUUUAGUUUUUGUUGUUUCCACUUUUUAAAAACAAGUAUAAUGUUUUUGAAACUUAAAAGUUGGCUUUUAUAGUUGUUGUCAAGAGGUCAGUAGUAAUGUAGUAUAUUGAAAAGCUCAUUUAAACGA